rnacentral:rRNA from 1 species
CAGCAGCCGCGGUAAAACGGAGGGUGCAAGCGUUAAUCGGAAUUACUGGGCGUAAAGCGCACGCAGGCGGUCUGACAAGUCAGAUGUGAAAUCCCCGGGCUUAACCUGGGAACUGCAUUUGAAACUGUCAGGCUGGAGUCUUGUAGAGGGGGGUAGAAUUCCAGGUGUAGCGGUGAAAUGCGUAGAUAUAGGAAGGAACACCAGUGGCGAAGGCGACCACCUGGACUGAUACUGACACUGAGGUGCGAAAGCGUGGGGAGCAAACAGGAUUAGAUACCCGCGUAGUCCCUGUCUCUUAUAC